AUGAACGCUGGCGGCGUGCCUAAUACAUGCAAGUCGAGCGAACGGACGAGAAGCUUGCUUCUCUGAUGCUAGCGGCGGACGGGUGAGUAACACGUGGAUAACCUACCUAUAAGACUGGGAUAACUUCGGGAAACCGGAGCUAAUACCGGAUAAUAUUUUGAACCGCAUGGUUCCAAAGUAAAAGACGGUCUUGCUGUCACUUAUAGAUGGAUCCGCGCUGCAUUAGCUAGUUGGUAAGGUAACGGCUUACCAAGGCAACGAUGCAUAGCCGACCUGAGAGGGUGAUCGGCCACACUGGAACUGAGACACGGUCCAGACUCCUACGGGAGGCAGCAGUAGGGAAUCUUCCGCAAUGGGCGAAAGCCUGACGGAGCAACGCCGCGUGAGUGAUGAAGGUCUUCGGAUCGUAAAACUCUGUUAUUAGGGAAGAACAUAUGUGUAAGUAACUGUGCACAUCUUGACGGUACCUAAUCAGAAAGCCACGGCUAACUACGUG
rnacentral:rRNA from 1 species